AUUGAACGCUGGCGGCAGGCCUAACACAUGCAAGUCGAGCGAGCGGCGGACGGGUGAGUAAUGUCUGGGAAACUGCCUGCUGGAGGGGGAUAUCUACUGGAAACGGUAGCUAAUACCGCAUACCAUCUGAUGUGCCCAGAUGGGCUUAGCUGGUAGGUGGGGUAACGGCUCACCUAGGCGACGAUCCCUAGCUGGUCUGAGAGGAGGACCCGCCACACGGGAACUGAGACACGGUCCAGGCUCCUACGGGAGGCAGCAGUGGGGAAUGUUGCACAAUGGGCGCAAGCCUGAUGCAGCCAUGCCGCGUGUAUGAAGAAGGCCUUCGGGUUGUAAAGUACUUUCAGCGGGGAGACGGUACCCGCAGAAGAAGCACCGGCUAACUACGUGCCAGCAGCCGCGGUAAUAC
rnacentral:rRNA from 1 species